rnacentral:rRNA from 1 species
CAAUGGGCGAAAGCCUGAUGCAGCAACGCCGCGUAUGCGAUGAAGGCCUUCGGGUCGUAAAGCACUUUUCUGGGAGAUGAGAAAGGACAGUAUCUCAGGAAUAAGUAUCGGCUAACUACGUGCCAGCAGCCGCGGUAAAACGUAGGAGGCAAGCGUUAUCCGAAUUCACUGGGUGUAAAGAGCGUGCAGGCGGUUCGGUAAUUUGGGCGUGAAAUCUCCUGGCUCAACUAGGAGAGGUCGUUCAAUAAUACCGGACUUGAGAGUGGUAGAGGAAGAUGGAAUUCCCUGUGUAGUGGUGAAAUGCGUAGAUAUCGGGAGGAACACCAGUGGCGAAGGCGAUCUUCUGGACCAUUUCUGACGCUCAGACGCGACAGCUAGGGUAGCAAACG